CAAGGAUACGAUAUCAAGCAAAGCCCCACAGAAGCCAACAUGAGGUUAGUUUCUCUUGUGAGCUCUGGUAAGAGUGCAGAUCACACCCCAUCAUGAGGGACAGAGAUACAACAUUAUAUUCCUGGAUCUGUGGGUCCUUGGAUGUGCCAGGCACUGGUUUAAGCACUUUAAAUUAGUGACAUAGCUGGCCUUGCCUCCAUUUCUGCUGCUGCAUCAAGUUUCUGGCAGUUGCCUGCAGGGGGGCCCACAGGUGGGGACCAGUGUGGGACUAGGCAUGAACUAUGUGAGCACAACCUUGAAUCUGACA